ACGAUCUUACUUGAACAGGAUCUGUUCUAUAGGCUCGUACCUCUGUAUUCUUGAGUUCUAAGGAGACAGGAACCUCAACCUGGUGGAUGAAUUACGGCCGUGUGAUCAGAGCGUGAUUAACAGUUGAUGGUUCACGGAUAAUCUCAGCUGUAGAGGAUCGUUCUCGGUUAGCUUUGCUGGCUGGGAUGGUCACACGGUUGUCUGACGGGUU
rnacentral:snoRNA from 1 species